UACGAAGGGGGCUAGCGUUGCUCGGAAUUACUGGGCGUAAAGGGCGCGUAGGCGGGUCGUUUAGUUAGAGGUGAAAGCCCAGGGCUCAACCCUGGAAUUGCCUUUAAUACUGGCGGCCUUGAGUAUGGCAGAGGUGUGUGGAACUCCGGAGUGUAGAGGUGAAAUUCGUAGAUAAUUCGGAAGAACACCAGUGGCGAAGGCGACACACUGGGCCGAUUACUGACGCUUGAGGCGCGAAAGCGUGGGGAGCAAACAGG
rnacentral:rRNA from 1 species